rnacentral:rRNA from 1 species
UGGGGAAUAUUGGACAAUGGGCGCAAGCCUGAUCCAGCCAUGCCGCGUGAGUGAUGAAGGCCCUAGGGUUGUAAAGCUCUUUCACCGGUGAAGAUAAUGACGGUAACCGGAGAAGAAGCCCCGGCUAACUUCGUGCCAGCAGCCGCGGUAAUACGAAGGGGGCUAGCGUUGUUCGGAUUUACUGGGCGUACAGCGCACGUAGGCGGACUAUUAAGUCAGGGGUGAAAUCCCGGGGCUCAACCCCGGAACUGCCUUUGAUACUGGUAGUCUUGAGUUCGAGAGAGGUGGGUGGAAUUCCGAGUGUAGAGGUGAAAUUCGUAGAUAUUCGGAGGAACACCAGUGGCGAAGGCGGCUCACUGGCUCGAUACUGACGCUGAGGUGCAAAAGCGUGGGGAGCAAACAGG